AUGCUAGACUGCGCAAACAGCAUCCCCGGACAUAUCCUCCUGCCUGCCCCGAACGGUGUGUACUCAAAGUUGGUUCCCUUGAAGUCCACUUCGCCGGACUCGAACCGCUCUGGCCUGAACUCUUCCGGGGCAUCCCAGUGCUUGGGGUCCCGACAGAUCGCCCACGUGUUCACAAACACGGUGGUGCCCGUCGGCACGUCGUAG
rnacentral:rRNA from 1 species